rnacentral:rRNA from 1 species
AGUAAUGCAUAGGAAUCUGCCCAUGUAGUGGGGGACAACCUGGGGAAACUCAGGCUAAUACCGCAUGAGCCCUUCGGGGGAAAGCAGGGGAUCUUCGGACCUUGCGCUAUUGGAUGAGCCUAUGCCUGAUUAGCUUGUUGGUGGGGUAACGGCCUACCAAGGCGACGAUCAGUAGCUGGUCUGAGAGGACGAUCAGCCACACUGGGACUGAGACACGGCCCAG